CGGCGAACGGGUGAGGAACACGUGAAGAAUCUGCCUUCAACUCUGGGAUAACUCCGGGAAACCGGGGCUAAUGCCGGAUAUGAGCCUUGAUCGCAUGAUCGGGGCUGGAAAGUUUUUCGGUUGAAGAUGACUUCGCGGCCUAUCAGCUUGUUGGUGAGGUAAUGGCUCACCAAGGCGUCGACGGGUAGCCGGCCUGAGAGGGCGACCGGCCACACUGGGACUGAGACACGGCCCAGACUCCUACGGGAGGCAGCAGUGGGGAAUAUUGGGCAUGGAGGAAACUCUGACCCAGCGACGCCGCGUGAGGGAUGAAGGCCUUCGGGUUGUAAACCUCUUUCAGUAGGGAAGAAGCGAAAGUGACGGUACCUACAGAAGAAGCACCGGCUAACUAUGUGCCAGCAGCCGCGGUAAUACAUAGGGUGCAAGCGUUGUCCGGAAUUAUUGGGCGUAAAGAGCUCGUAGGUGGUUCGAUACGUCGGAUGUGAAAAUCAGGGGCUCAACCCCUGACCUGCAUCCGAUACGGUCGAGCUGGAGUUUGGUAGGGGAGACUGGAAUUCCUGGUGUAGCGGUGGAAUGCGCAGAUAUCAGGAGGAACACCGAUGGCGAAGGCAGGUCUCUGGGCCAAUACUGACACUGAGGAGCGAAAGCGUGGGGAGCGAACAGGAUUAGAUACCCUGGUAGUCCACGCCGUAAACGGUGGGCGCUAGUUGUGCGAACCUUCCACGGUUUGUGCGACGCAGCUAACGCAUUAAGCGCCCCGCCUGGGG
rnacentral:rRNA from 1 species